UACGAAGGGGGCUAGCGUUGUUCGGAAUCACUGGGCGUAAAGCGCACGCAGGCGGAUUGAUAAGUCGGGGGUGAAAUCCCGGGGCUCAACCUCGGAAUUGCCUUCGAUACUGUCUGUCUUGAGUCCGGGAGAGGUGAGUGGAAUUCCUAGUGUAGAGGUGAAAUUCGUAGAUAUUAGGAAGAACACCGGUGGCGAAAGCGGCUCCCUGGCCCGAUACUGACGCUCAUGUUCGAAAGCGUGGGGAGCAAACAGG
rnacentral:rRNA from 1 species